rnacentral:rRNA from 2 species
UACGUAGGGUGCGAGCGUUAAUCGGAAUUACUGGGCGUAAAGCGUGCGCAGGCGGUUUUGUAAGUCAGAUGUGAAAUCCCCGGGCUCAACCUGGGAACUGCGUUUGAAACUACAAGGCUAGAGUGUAGCAGAGGGGGGUAGAAUUCCACGUGUAGCAGUGAAAUGCGUAGAGAUGUGGAGGAAUACCAAUGGCGAAGGCAGCCCCCUGGGUUAACACUGACGCUCAUGCACGAAAGCGUGGGGAGCAAAC